UGUCCUGUUUCCCUAGGGCUGGUCAUGUUGCUAAAUUUGAUCUGAAAGCUAUGUAUCUGUAGUAAAUUAUCCUUUCCUAAGCCCUUUUCCAACCUCCACAAACUUUCUGCAAAACCAGAUGGGGAUUUAACCACUGUUCUGCUUUUUCAAGCCUGCCUCAGGAUUAGUAUUAUAAAAAUCAAAUAGGAAAGUAAUGAAAGUACAUCUCGUUGGCAAGGUACGUCUCUGGGGAAUAGUCAGCUAAUGCCAAGAUUAAGUUCAAAGCUGAUACAUGCAUGAUAAGUCUGGAUAAUACAAUUUACAAAAUUAUAUCAUAUUUUAAACUCAGACUGAUACAUUUUGUGUGUCUGCCUUCUCUGGGAGAUGAGUAUUGUGAAUCACUGGGGUACCAAAGUCCUUCUUUCCAGCAGCUAGACACUGGAUGUGUUUAUGCCAACCUAGCAGACCAUUAAAUUCCCAUCUAGGAAUAGUAGGCUGUUACAUCUACUGGUAUAUUGGGACUGGCAAUUGGCAAUGACUAAUAUCCCUAAUACUUUCAUCACAGCUGGAAUUGUAUGGAUAAAGAUACAAAUCUAGCUCUGAAUGUAACUCAUGUCCUGCUAUGAGGCAUAAAUAUGUUUGUGGGAACUUAGAUGACAAUGUUCAUCCCCAUUGCAGGUGUCUUUAAUGGGUAGCCAUAAAAAGAUACAAAGGUAAUUAUCUUUUCUAUCUUGCAGUACUUCACUGAAGUGCAUUUGCAAGGUAGCAAAAACUGUUUCCUAAAACUGUUCAGUUAGAACAAUAAUAAUGAAUGCUAAAGGUGAACUCUCAUUCAAAUAUGAAAUUGCUGAUUUGCAGAAGGAAUGAUUCCUCUGGAAAUCUUUAUGUAAGGUCCAAAUUAUAAUGUAUUGCUUUAUAAGUGGAAUUUUCAGGCUUGCAGAAACCUCUAGAAGGAAUACAGGUUGAGAUGAAAAGAACAAGUAAUAGUUCUUGAUAAAAUUCUUUAGACUUCACAUUAUAAUUUCUGUGGGACUCUUUCUGUAAAAUUCAGUCUUCAUUUUUGUAUUCUGUGAGAUUUUUUCCAUAAAGUAAUUACAGUUUUUAGGUUUCUUUUGCUAUUUUUCCUGUUCUUUUUUACUUCUCACAGAUAGUCAUGCACCUUGGAGAGUAAGUGCAAGUGAUUUGAUGGAAAAUGAAGGGGGUUUUGUGAUGAAGGAACCGGCCUGAAGCUCCUGAGACCUGGCAAGGGCUUCUGUGCAGAGCACCUGGCUCUGUAUCAGAGCUUUUGUGUGAUCCAGAGCAGGCAGCAGCUGGUGCCCAGGAGCAGCCCUGCAAGGCUUGUGGAGCAGACAAGACAUAUUGGACAUGGAGCCUGGCUCUGGGCAGAGCUUGGUGGCUCCACACUGUCCCUCCCUGCCAGCCAGGAGGUGCGGGAGCAGUCCUGGUCAAGCCUGGGAGCACCAAGCUGCUCCUGGUGGGACCACAACUGAUGCUUACCCAGGUUUAGGCAGAGUCACCAGCAUCCCACUCCUGGGACAAGUAUCCCCUCCACCACCUGCAGCAUGCACACAGCAGCACCCACCCACCUUUGGUAGAGCAUGGGGAGUCCCUUUAAUUCUGUCCCUUUCCCGGGAACUCAUCCCAACCACAGCAAUAUUCCACUCACUCUCCAUAGCUUCUUUCAAGACUCCAGUGAUGCUCUACCCAUCUUACUGCAGCUCCCAGACAACUCCAGAACACACCUGAGUAAAUGAAGGCAGCCACAGACCUCUCUCUGAUAAGCAGGAGGAUCAGCCAUCAGAAGUUUAGGAAAUCCUGCCACAAAUGAAGAAACAUGUUCCAGACAAAACUUUCUUACAUCUGCAUUAUUGGAAUAAACAGUAAGGAAAAUGGACCGAAAAGAUGUGCCUAGUAUUUCCCUUCACCUUCCCAGAUGCAAAGCAAGGUGUUCAAAGAGGACAGAAUUUUUAGUGAAUUGGAUCCAAGAGCCAUUUCAUCAUGCUCAAAGCAGAUGUUAUCAGGAAGGAUCAUUUGUAUUGGCAGUCCUUCAAAAGGUUACCCUCUAACCAUGCUCAAAUCAGGUACUGAGGAAUCACAAGAGGUGUUUGUUGCCAGGGACCUCUGGAUGCUGUCAGGUCCAAAUCCUCUGCUCAGAGCAGCUGCAGCCAGGGCUGGUGCCCAGGGCUCUGCUUGGUCCAACUUUGGGUGGAUACUCCAAAAUCUCUCUGGGUAACCUGUUUCAGUAUUUCACUACACCCUAGUGAAAAAGUGUUUUCUUAUGUUUUAGAGGAAUUUCCUAUGUUUCAGGUUUUGUCCAUUUCCUCUGGUCUUGUCACUGCAGAGAAAAGUCUGGCUCAUUCUUCUUUCCUUCUCACCACAACUAUCAGGGAGAAGAGUGGGAAUGGGAAGUGACACAAGAAGAAGGGACACUGUUUGGAUGACUGAAUUUGGCCCAGGUGAAGGAAUUACCUCUGCUAAUGAAUAGUCUUUUCCAAAGAAAACAUAAAGAGUUCUACCAAGGACCCCUUUGCAGAGAAUGAGAUGGGACACAAAAUAACACAUGGAAUUGGUGGCAUGGCAUUCAUGUCCUACUCCUAGGAAAACAAUUUAUCUUGGAUCAAAUACAAAUUAAGCCAACUUGUAUCCAGUGUUUAUCUGUUGCAGAGGACUUCUGUUUACAAGCAAAGAGGGCCACAAGAACAUCUGGGCCUUGUCAUCUAAAUUGCAAAGGCUAUUCUGGUCACCACUGAAUAAUUUCCAUGCAAGGACAGUAUUGAGGAAGACAGCAGUAGCUCUGCUCUGUGAGCUGUCCAGAUAGCAAAGGAAGGAUCAUUAAUGAAAAUAUUUGUGAAGAAAACCAGUUAGUAACCUAAUGUGGAAAAGCUAUUUCAGUGUUAAAUGCCUACAGUAUCUUUACUUGUGUGUACAUACACUGUGUGCAGUGAUAGCAUUUCAAAUGUCUGUAAGGUUUUAAGAUCUUCAUCAUGCCCACUUCUCCACACCAGUCUAACCUUCCAUUCAGCUGUUCUGUUUCCAGUCUUGAAGUUGUUCAAGUCAUGAUGCAGAUCUGGAAGCAAAACAGGCCCCCACUGGGCAUUUUCUGGGGAAGUGAGUAGAAGACUCAGUUAAGUAUUUCUCACCUUGAAGACCAAAGGGCCUGGUCAGAUGAGGCAAAGAAUUGAAAAGAGGAGACAGAAGGAUGACCAUUCCUGCUCCUGGAAUGAUUCCAGGGAGAUAGAACAUGGGAUAUAUUUAGUUCUAACCCCAAGUAACCUUGCUGUUGAAAUGACAUCUUGUGUAACUUCACCUUAGCAGCAAUAGCUAGCAUUUAUGUAAUUAUGUAAAGUAAAAAUUACCUAUUUCUUAAUUAUAAAGAAACGUAUUCAGUAACCUCUAAAAUACAAAAAGGAAAACUUUUUAAUGUAUUUCCCAGAUAGCUAAAAUCCUCAUUACACAGCAUUACCCUAUACCUAAACAGUAUUGCCAUUUAGAGAGGAAUUUAUCAGGUAUUAGGCAUCAGUUGUACUGGCCAAUUACACAGUGCCAUGCUAAAUAAUCACAUUCCCAGGUGAAAUUUAGCACCAUUUACUAUUUUUAAGCAGUCAGAUUACAUCAAUGUUUACCCAUGGUCUUGAGAGUGACCAUAAGGCAACAUUUCAACAAUCAAGGCAUGUUUGAUAAAAGAGGAAAAUGAGUAUUUUUCUGGACUGAAUAGAAAAAUUAUCUUCCAUGGACAAAUAAAGACAUAAAUUACUGCUAUAAGGCUUCAUAUAAACUAUAUAGAAGAAAUCUCAAUUGGUUAUGAUAAUUAGUGAAUAAAAAAAGUAUAUCACAUAUAUAAUCCUAGAAAAAACUAGAAGGGCUUAAAAUUUUCCCUCUCUUGGUAAAAAAACCCAAAAUCCAGAGAAAGGCUGUGCAUACACAUAAAAGAAUGGUAUGUUGACACGAAUUUAUGUCCCUGACCUGUGAUGGAAACCAAUAAUACUUAAUUUGCUAAUAUUCUCCCAUCCUUUAAAUGUAUAAUAUUGACAAUAAAAAAAGACAACAAAUUUGCUAUUCUAUUUUAAAAUUGCUUUACUAAUGGGUUUUG